rnacentral:rRNA from 1 species
GGAAUAUUGGACAAUGGGCGCAAGCCUGAUCCAGCCAUGCCGCGUGAUUGAUGAAGGCCCUAGGGUUGUAAAGCUCUUUCAGCGGGGAAGAUAAUGACGGUACCCGCAGAAGAAGCCCCGGCUAACUUCGUGCCCGCAGCCGCGGUAAUACGCAGGGGGCUAGCGUUGCUCGGAAUCACUGGGCGUAAAGCGCACGUAGGCGGGUCUUUAAGUCAGGGGUGAAAUCCCGGAGCUCAACUCCGGAACUGCCUUUGAUACUGGAGAUCUUGAGUCCGGGAGAGGUGAGUGGAACUGCGAGUGUAGAGGUGAAAUUCGUAGAUAUUCGCAAGAACACCAGUGGCGAAGGCGGCUCACUGGCCCGGUACUGACGCUGAGGUGCGAAAGCGUGGGGAGCAAAC